rnacentral:rRNA from 1 species
GCACCUGCGCCUGCUAUCAUGCAGUCGAGCGAUGCAAGGAGCUUGCUCCUUUGAUUUAGCGGCGGACGGGUGAGUAACACGUGGGUAACCUACCCUAUAGACUGGGAUAACUUCGGGAAACCGGAGCUAAUACCGGAUAAUACUUCGAAACACAUGUUUUGGAAGUUGAAAGAUGGUUUCGGCUAUCACUAUAGGAUGGACCCGCGGCGCAUUAGCUAGUUGGUGGGGUAAUGGUUCACCAAGGCAACGAUGCGUAUCCUUACCUGAGAGGGUGAUCGGCCACACUGGGACUGAGACACGGGCCCAGACUCCUACGGGAGGCAGCAGUAGGGAAUCUUCCACAAUGGACGAAAGUCUGAUGGAGCAACGCCGCGUGAGUGAAGAAGGUUUUCGGAUCGUAAAACUCUGUUGUUAGAGAAGAACAAGGAUGAGAGUGACUGCUCGUCCCUUGACGGUAUCUAACCAGAAAGCCAUGGCUAACUACGUGCCAGCAGCCGCGGUAAUACGUAGGGGGCAAGCGUUGUCCGGAAUUAUGGGCGUAAAGCGCGCGCAGGCGGUUAAUUAAGUCUGGUGUCUAAGGCUGAGGCUCAACCUCAGUUCGCACUGGAAACUGGUUAACUUGAGUACAGAAGAGGAAAGUGGAAUUCCACGUGUAGCGGUGAAAUGCGUAGAUAUGUGGAGGAACACCAGUGGCGAAGGCGACUUUCUGGGCUGUAACUGACGCUGAGGCGCGAAAGCGUGGGUAGCAAACAGGAUUAGAUACCCUGGUAGUCCACGCCGUAAACGAUGAGUGCUAGGUGUUAGGGGUUUCGAUACCCUUGGUGCCGAAGUUAACACAUUAAGCACUCCGCCUGGGGAGUACGGUCGCAAGACUGAAACUCAAAGGAAUUGACGGGGACCCGCACAAGCAGUGGAGUAUGUGGUUUAAUUCGAAGCAACGCGAAGAACCUUACCAGGUCUUGACAUCCCUCUGAAUCCACUAGAGAUAGUGGCGGCCUUCGGGACAGAGGAGACAGGUGGUGCAUGGUGUCGGAGCCGGCGA